CAGCAGACAGUAAGAACUAUGGCCCAGGCACUGUGGCGGACCUUGGACUCUAGUCACUGGAUUCCUCUCAGAGACCAGCCCAUUGGAUAAGAGGAACAGUCCAAAAGUAGAACCUGAUGCUCAGCAUUGAAUAUCAAGUCUAUUACAUCUCCAGCGUGGAAUUCAUAAGCCCCUCCUACAUUCUGGAUCAUAGAGUUGUUGGUUAGAGCUUGUAUGGGGUCUUCGUUCUUACGCAGCUGCACCUCGAAAGGAGCUCGUCCCUUGUAGGCUGUAUUGGGAGCCACUUGGCCAUAAAUUAAGUACAAACCAUUCUGAAGUAUCUUCAGCCUCCAGUCUGCUGUCUUAUUCACACAAGAAGGCUCAGGAGAAGGCAUUUGCCAUUUUGAAGGGGAAAAGCCUAUUGAACAUCCUCCUUUCUGAAAGAGGAUGCUAAAGAUAAGAGAACUUGAGGAUGUCCCUGGUUGUACAGUGGAUAAGAGAGAAGGAAAUGGCAACCCACUCCAGUAUUCUUGCUUGGAAAAUCACAUGGAUGGAGGAGCCUAGCAGCCUGCACCCCAUGGAGUUGCAAAGAGCCGGACACGACUGAGCAACUAACACAUACAGUGGAUAAGAACUCACCUGCCGAUGCAGGGGACAUGGGUUUAAUCCCUGGUCUGGGAAGAUUCCACAUGCUGCAGAGCAACCAAAACCUCUGUGCUCCAGCCACUGUGCUCCACACUGUAGAGCCUGGGAGCAACGACUACUGAAGCCUGUGUGCCUACAGCCUAGCUCCACAAUAAGAGAAACCACUCCAAUGAGAAAACUGUGUACCACAGACAGUAGCCCCUGGUCGCCACAACUAGAGAAAGCCCGCAUUUAGCAACAAAGACCCAGCACAACCAAAAA